rnacentral:lncRNA from 1 species
GACAGUUGCAGAGUGUGUGGGCUCUGUGGGCAGCAGACAGUGACCUCCUCACAGGUCCGGGAGCACCAGACUGCAAACAGCAGCCUCUGAGAGGCCUGAGGCACAAUGGAGAAAGGAAAGGGAGUGUCCAGAAAAGGACGGAAGCUGGCAUCCAGCCGGCGGAGGCAGGCGCGAGAGCCAGCUGAUGGUCAGGAUGCCCCUGUGGCCCCGGAGGCUGAGUCCUGGCCCUCUGAUGCUGAUGCAGAGCUUCAGGGCUUCUUCCAGGACUGUGGAGCCAAGGAGAGGGGCUUUGUCACCCAGGAGGAUCUGAAGGAGGCCAAGUUCAGCUUCCUGGGUGGCGAGGAGCCGCAGAUGAUAUUUGACUGGGUGGACGUCGAGAGUAGGGGCCGCCUGUCGCUGGAAGAAUUCAGCUCUGGACUCAAAAAUGUCUUUGGCUCCAGCCCCGGUACCCACAGACUCCGCACAAAUCGGUCAUUG